CGCCUAAACUCAAAGUUUUGUCCCUUCUCUUCAUCGUCUUCCUCACCUCCACAUUCUUCUCCAUCUGAUACACCAGCCACCGCCUUAGGAAAGUACAAAGGACAUAGCCACCACCAUGGGUAAGUAGGAGGUGUCAACAGCCUUGGAAAUCAAGUUUCAGAUUGGUGAUUCCCCAAAGCUAUGAAGCUAGAGCUGGAACCCUAGAAUCAAGAGCUGGAACUCUAACAAUCUGGAGGUGGCGAGUCUAGUACCUAUAUGGGAACUUGUUUUCAUCCGGAUACUUAACGUGAAAAUCAAUCGAGGUGACGAAUAAAUAAGUUUGAAGUUAUUUUAAUGCAAGGGUGUUUUUAAUAAUGUAAUAUACAUGUGUGUUAUUGUUAAUCAUGCUUGGGUUCCUAGACAAGAACUUGGAAUAUAGUUGACAUUUUGUUGUAAAUGUUGGUGUAAACCCCUCUUGUAAUAAAGGUUGUGUUUCAAUUUCGGAAA